UACGGGAGACAAAAACUCGUGACCUAAUUUUCUUAUACAAGGAUUAAUGGGGUAUUUAAACUAAAAAGUUAUAAUCACCCAUUUCUCAUGUUUGAAAAUAAUUAUCCUAACAUGAACAAGCAAAUGAACUAGAUUAAAUGAGAUGCAAUUCUAAAUGGCAUGAUUAGCACCUAUAGCGGGUAAGGGAUAAUAUAAUAGGGAAUAUCAUACAAAUGAGAAAAGAUUCUAAAAAUAAAAACAUGCAUGGAAAUGUAGUGAAUAGCACACAAAGAUGAAUCUAGCGCAAGACAACCUAAAUGGUCUAGCGUUGGACUAGCCCAUUUCUAAAAAUCCUUACUAGCGUU
rnacentral:lncRNA from 1 species